GCGGCGGGCGGGCGGCGGGGCGGCGCGCCCGCGCCCAGGGCCGAGGCGCAGGAGGGCGCGCGCGGGGAGCCGUCCGGGGGCAGCAGCGGCAGCGAGGCGGCGCCGCAGGACGUCAUUUUCCGAGCACUGACUGUGUGUCCUGCAUCAGGCCUUGAGCUCCUACCAUCCGCCCUGUGGUUCCCAGACUUUCAGAUUUCAAGGCCCGGGGGAAUUUCCAGGAACGAGGAACUGGCAUAGCACGGGCAGUUUUGAAAGUUUGCCAAGAAAAGCCUUUUACACACAAUGACUACCAUCUUUUUGCCCUUAUCCGUUUAUCCAAGGAAGAACCUGCAGCAUCUUAAUCCCAGAGCAAAGAAUCUUCUCAAAACUGACUUAAUUUUGCUUAACAAAAAGUUUGCAAAGUGCCCCUAUUUUUCUCGUUUUGUGGUAGGUCGGUGAAGACCUUGUCGUGGGCUGGCAUUUGGGAACCACAUGGUGGACGGGCUUUCCCAGACUCCCAGACACAGAGACGCACACACCCGCCCACCACACACACACACCACCCCCAUCGUCAGGGCUCCGAUCCAGCCCCAACGAUCAAGUUCAGGUUCUUGAUGGCAGGGCGGUCGCAGGCAUAUGAGCAGCCAUGUUGCGCUGGACCGGGCCCAGGGUCGAGGGCCCUCUGCAAGGUGGUGCGUAGGAGAGCAUCGCACAAGCUUCCUGUUUAGACAGAGGAUCGGGGAAAGUUACCAUGCCCAGCUCCCAUGCCCAGCAGAGGACAGGAGACAAGGUGCCCGGCAGCCUCCAGGAACUAGGCGAGGGGACCCGGGUCAGAGCAGCCAACCUGGGGACAGGGGCAAAGCCUGCCCUGGCCAGACCCCGGGAAUCGCAGCAUCCUAGAUGUCCUGGGGAUGGAGGUGGUUGAAUGACUCCUAUGCUCGCUCUGUCGCUGUGAAUCUGGCCCCCUUGCUCUGUGUCCUUCCACAUCUGAGAAGCUGCUUGUUCCCAGCCCAGCUUCGAGGGGCCACCGUGAUGACAGGAUGCCAUCCACAUGGGGCCCUUUAUGGUUAAUGACAUCUUUUAUUGCAUCCUAUAAAGAAACAGGCUCUGGAAGACAUUAUUUUUGUCCCUCUUUGUGAUCCAUUCUGCUUUUCUGUGCAUGGGAGGGGCAGCCGGGCCCAUUGGGUUUGGGGGGCAGUGGGAGGGGUUAGGAGGGAGCAGGGGCAAUGAGUUACGGAGAAGCCAAGAAGCUGGGACCCCGAGGCCGGAGAGGUGGACAGGGGGCUGCUGGGUGGAUUGUGGUCUUUGGAGCAGGUCCUGGAAGGGAGCAGUGAAAGAGCAGGAGGCCCAGGGGCUGUGAGACCUGGAAGCUUCCACAGAGGGUCCCUCCACCCGAGGGCUGAGCAAGCAGCUCGGUUGCUUGAGAACUGACAGGUGAGGGUGUGUCACCUCCCCUGACAUUGCUGCCCAGGUGGUAGUAAGACUGCCCUGGACUAGGAGUCAGGAAACUGGAACUUGCCAGGCCCUGCAGCUCAGGACACACUCUGUCACUGGUCUGACCCUCAGUGUCCCCAUCUGGGGGGAGGGGCUGGACCAUCUGUUUGCCAAUGUAUAGUCCCGGGAAUCAGUGCAUUGGAAUCACCACAUAAACUGCAUGUUCCUGGGCCCCGCCCCACCCCAUGGAAUGGCACUCUCUGGGGC
rnacentral:lncRNA from 1 species